rnacentral:lncRNA from 1 species
CAGCAAAGUAAGAUAUACAAAUAAGUCAACAUGACCAAAUGGUCAGUUGACCACUUUAGGAGUUAUUGCCCUUUAUAGUCAAUUUUUAACCAUUUUUCGUAAAUCUUAGUAAUCUUUUAGAAAAAUCUUCUUCUCUGAAACUACUGGCCAAAUUUAACUAAACUUGGCCAUAAUCAUCAUUGGGGUAUGUAGUUUAAAAAAUGUGUCCGGUGACCCGGCCAACCAACCAAGAUGGCUGCCAUGGCUAAAAAUAGAACAUAGGGGUAAAAUGCAGUUUUUGGCUUAUAACUCAAAAACCAAAGCAUUUAGAGCAAAUCUGACAGGAAGUAAAAUUGUUGAUCAG